AGAACAUAGUGGACAUCGCGAAGACAAAGCACGGGUUGAAAUACGUGUACGUGUGGCACGCGAUCACCGGGUAUUGGGGUGGGGUCCGCCCGGGGAUUAAGGAGAUGGAGGAAUACGAGUCGUUGAUGAAGUAUCCAAUGUUGUCGAAAGGAGUGGUGGAGAACGAGCCAACAUGGAAGACUGAUGUAAUGGCGGUGCAGGGUUUGGGUUUGGUGAAUCCGAAGAACGUGUACAAGUUUUACAACGAGUUGCACGGCUAUCUGGCGUCUGCGGGUAUAGACGGUGUUAAGGUGGACGUCCAGUGCAUAUUGGAGACGCUUGGUGCUGGCUUAGGUGGCAGGGUUGAGUUGACCAGACAGUAUCAUCAAGCGCUUGAUGCGUCGGUUGCCAGGAACUUCCCUGAUAAUGGGUGCAUUGCGUGCAUGAGUCACAAUACUGAUGCACUCUACUGCUCAAAACAAACUGCUAUAGUGAGAGCAUCAGAUGAUUUCUACCCACGUGAUCCGACAUCACACACCAUUCAUAUUGCAGCUGUCGCAUACAACAGUGUGUUCUUGGGAGAAAUCAUGCGGCCUGAUUGGGACAUGUUCCACUCCCUUCAUCCAGCUGCUGAGUAUCACGGAUCGGCCCGUGCUAUAAGUGGUGGGCCCAUUUACGUCAGGUAAUGAAUCAUAUAACAUGGCCAUUCAUUUUCUCAUAAAAGAUCAAUAUUUUUCUUUUUCUUUUUUUAAUUUUUUGAUGAUAAUUCUACACUGCACUAUAUUAGGUAAUAUAAUCAAUUAAGUAUAUGUAUGUCGCGUGUAAUUAAAUUUAACAUAAUGGUCACUACUUACAUAUACAUAUCAAUAUAUUAAUAUAUCAUAAUAUCAUUUAUUUUAUUUACUAUAUGACUGACAUAAUAGUUCCGAAAUAUUUUAGAAUUUCUGAUUUGGUGACGUUAAUUAAGUUAAAUUAUAUAUUAAUUUUGAGCAGUGAUGCGCCCGGGAAGCACAACUUUGAGCUGCUAAAGAAAUUAGUGCUGCCUGAUGGGUCAAUUCUUCGAGGACGCUUGCCUGGGCGGCCCACACGCGAUUGCCUCUUCUCGGACCCAGCCCGUGAUCGUGUCAGCUUGUUGAAGAUAUGGAACAUGAACAAGUACACAGGGGUGCUGGGUGUUUACAAUUGCCAAGGAGCGGCUUGGAACAAAACUGAAAGGAAGAACACGUUCCACGAAACCACAAGUGAUGCAAUAACGGGGCAAAUUAGGGGCCGUGAUGUUCACCUCAUUGCUGAAGCUGCCACGGACCCCAAUUGGACCGGUGACUGCGCCAUCUACUGUCACCGGACCGGUGAACUCAUCACCCUGCCGUACAAUGCAGCAAUGCCAGUGUCCCUUAAAGUCCUUGAACAUGAAAUCUUCACUGUCACACCCAUUAAGUUUUUAUCCCCCGGCUUUAGCUUUGCGCCCUUGGGGCUCGUCAACAUGUUCAAUGCUGGUGGUGCUAUUGAGGGGCUCAAAUAUGUAGUUGAAGGCGGCGCUAAGUUAACGGAGAUUGAUGAUGGGUAUGGAGGUGAUCAGAGAGCGGAGAAUUGUAGCAAUGAAUUGGUGGGGAAGGUCUGCAUGGAGGUUAAAGGUUGUGGCAAGUUCGGUGCUUAUGCAUCAGCUAAGCCAAGAAGGUGCACUGUGGAUUCAAAUGAGGUCGAAUUUGAGUAUGAUUCAAAUUCUGGGCUAGUCACAUUCUGCUUGG
rnacentral:lncRNA from 1 species